rnacentral:rRNA from 1 species
UACGAAGGGUGCAAGCGUUACUCGGAAUUACUGGGCGUAAAGCGUGCGUAGGUGGUUUGUUAAGUCUGAUGUGAAAGCCCACAGCUCAACUGUGGAGGGUCAUUGGAAACUGGGGUGCUCGAGCGUGGGAGAGGAAAGCGGAAUUCCUGGUGUAGCGGUGAAAUGCGUAGAUAUCAGGAGGAACACCUGUGGUGUAGACAGCUUUCUGGACCAUUGCUGACGCUGAGACACGAAAGCGUGGGUAGCAAACAGG